rnacentral:rRNA from 1 species
UACGAAGGGGGCGAGCGUUGUUCGGAUUUACUGGGCGUAAAGGGCGCGCAGGCGGUAGACCAAGUCAGGCGUGAAAGCCCCGGGCUCAACCUGGGAACUGCGUCUGGGACUGGUUUACUAGAGAUCGGGAGAGGAGAGUGGAAUUCCCGAGUGUAGAGGUGAAAUUCGUAGAUAUUGGGAAGAACACCGGUGGCGAAGGCGGCUCUCUGGACCGAUACUGACGCUGAGGCGCGAAAGCGUGGGGAGCGAACAGG